AACAUAUUACAAAUUAUUUAAUUAUUAAUUUAUUAUAUUUAUUUUUUAGACUAAUUUUUUAAUUAAAAAAAAAUAUA
rnacentral:tRNA from 1 species